GAUGCAGUUUUUGGACUGAAGGAGGAAGGAGAGAUAACUGACACAUUGGUGGAGGAAGAGGAGGAGGAGGAAGAGGAGGAGACAGGAGACCUGAUUAACACCAGUAAGUACUGUCUUAAAACAGGAAGGAGGAGGAGGAGGAGACCUGGAAUAGAUUUGACAACAGAGGAAGAGUGUUUUAGUGGGGAGGAGGAGGAGGAGGAAGAGUUGAAGGCGGUGUUAAAGAGAUUCUAGAGUGAGAAGGUGUGGUCUCAGGUGUUGUUUCUAAGCAACAACCAAUCAACCCUGGAUCGUUCUACUUUAUUAGAUCACUGAUUGUGUUGUUGUUGUUGUUCGUACUAGAGAAGUUUCCGGUUCGUUCUGCAGUGCGUUCCUGUCCGCUUUGCCCCAAGGUUGUGGUCGGCUUCAGUCAGCACCUGAGGAACACGCACAACAUAAGAAACACGGAGGAGAGGAUCCUCCUUUGUAAUUGGCAGUCUGGCCGCGUCAAUAUCAGAAAGGAAACGUGUCCAGUGACGGGAUGUUCCGCCCGCCUCAGUAGGCUGGAUCGACACAUGGAGUCCCACACGGAGCUCAACAGAUCGCAGAGGAGACGAGCUUUAGAGGAACUUAGGAGACGGCUGACCAUGGAGCGGCUGGCCACGUUGAGGGCGUCCAACCCUGUCGUACCGCUUGCCACCCGUUUGGAUAUCGCGGACGGUGUUGCGAAGCAAGAAGACGAGGACGACUCUUUAGAUUCGCUGCUGACUCCUUUGGAAGCGGAGGAGGAGGACGAGGACGUGAGCUGCGAAGCUUAUUCCUGCCACUGCCAAGCGCCGAUCCUGAGGCUGCGGAAAGCUUUGCAAGAGCGGGAUGAAGCCCUGACCAAGAUACGUGAGACCAUCCGAUCCGUUAGAGAGGACAACCUAAAGCUGAUCUCUGAACUGAAUAGAGCGAGGAAGAGGUACCAGCUACUGAAAAGGCAGAAGACGAGUGUCGGGGCGAAGACGGCAAAUGCGAAGUCCAGGUUUCAGACCGAACCGUCUCCUCUUGCGUCAGACACAGAACAAGAGGAGCUGCAGGAGGACCAAGACGUGGGUUCAGGGGCCCGGACAGAGGAGGACACGGCGCCUGGAUCGAGCAGCCAAAUUCCCUUCCCGGGCUCUGCUCUGAGUGUGUUUAUGGAGGGGUUCAGGAAGACCUGUGAAGGUCCAAAUCCAAACAAUAAGCUGAAGCAAGAUUGUGCCGCAAAGCUCAAGAUGGUGCAGCAAUUUUUGACGUACAUGGCGAAGGAUGAGUUUUAUCCAUCCGCUCUGACUUUCCUGACGGACCACAACAACAUGAGGAGAUGGUUUCAGACUCUACAGAAGAACAAGGCCGUCGCCACGGUCGACCACUACGCCUCGACGAUCGGUGCGUUUCUCCAGUACUCCGAGGAGAUGCCUCCGCCUGGUUGCCGGGUGACCAAAAACCAUUGGAAGGAGAUCAACCGGGCAAUGAGGGAGAUUAACGAGUCUGUGAAACGAGCCGUUUCCAGGAAGGAAGGCAAGGUGGUGUCUAUAAAGAGCCUGCUGGAAUGCCAGUCUCUUGCCAAGGUCAAGAUCCCUCAAGUGCUGAGUAAGUUUUUUUUUUUUUUUUUUUUUUCUCUCAAUCUGUGAUACCAUCUGUUAUUCCACUCUUCUAGAUGUCAGAGAUGUUUACAGGACAUUAUGCUGUCUGUUAUUAUUAUAGAUGUUUACAGGAUAUUGUGGAAGCUGUCUGUUAUUAUUAUAGAUGUUUACAGGACAUUAUGCUGUCUGUUAUUAAAGAUGUUUACAGGACAUUAUGGAAGCUGUCUCUUAUUAUUAUAGAUGUUUACAGGACAUUAUGCUGUCUGUUAUUAUUAUAGAUGUUUACAGGACAUUAUGCUGUCUGUUAUUAUUAUAGAUGUUUACAGGACAUUAUAGAAGCUGUCUGUUAUUAUUAUAGAUGUUUACAGGACAUUAUGCUGUCUGUUAUUAUUAUAGAUGUUUACAGGACAUUAUGGAAGCUGUCUGUUAUUAUUAUAGAUGUUUACAGGACAUUAUGCUGUCUGUUAUUAUUAUAGAUGUUUACAGGACAUUAUGGAAGCUGUCUGUUAUUAUUAUAGAUGUUUACAGGACAUUAUGGAAGCUGUCUGUUAUUAUUAUAGAUGUUUACAGGACAUUAUGCUGUCUGUUAUCAUUAUAGAUGUUUACAGGACAUUAUGCUGUCUGUUAUUAUUAUAGAUGUUUACAGGACAUUAUGGAAGCUGUCUGUUAUUAUAGAUGUUUACAGGACAUUAUGGAAGCUGUCUGUUGUUAUUAUAGAUGUUUACAGGACAUUAUGGAAGCUGUCUGUUGUUAUUAUAGAUGUUUACAGGACAUUAUGCUGUCUGUUAUUAUUAUAGAUGUUUACAGGACAUUAUGCUGUCUGUUAUUAUUAUAGAUGUUUACAGGACAUUAUAGAAGCUGUCUGUUAUUAUUAUAGAUGUUUACAGGACAUUAUGGAAGCUGUCUGUUAUUAUUAUAGAUGUUUACAGGACAUUAUGCUGUCUGUUAUUAUUAUAGAUGUUUACAGGACAUUGUGGAAGCUGUCUGUUAUUAUUAUAGAUGUUUACAGGACAUUAUGGAAGCUGUCUGUUAUUAUUAUAGAUGUUUACAGGACAUUAUGGAAGCUGUCUGUUAUUAUUAUAGAUGUUUACAGGACAUUAUGCUGUCUGUUAUUAUUAUAGAUGUUUACAGGACAUUAUGGAAGCUGUCUGUUAUUAUUAUAGAUGUUUACAGGACAUUAUGCUGUCUGUUAUUAUUAUAGAUGUUUACAGGACAUUAUGGAAGCUGUCUGUUAUUAUUAUAGAUGUUUACAGGACAUUAUGCUGUCUGUUGUUAUUAUAGAUGUUUACAGGACAUUAUGCUGUCUGUUAUUAUUAUAGAUGUUUACAGGACAUUAUGCUGUCUGUUAUUAUUAUAGAUGUUUACAGGACAUUAUGCUGUCUGUUAUUAUUAUAGAUGUUUACAGGACAUUAUGGAAGCUGUCUGUUAUUAUUAUAGAUGUUUACAGGACAUUAUGCUGUCUGUUAUUAUUAUAGAUGUUUACAGGACAUUAUGGAAGCUGUCUGUUAUUAUUAUAGAUGUUUACAGGACAUUAUGCUGUCUGUUAUUAUGAUAGAUGUUUACAGGACAUUAUGGAAGCUGUCUGUUAUUAUUAUAGAUGUUUACAGGACAUUAUGCUGUCUGUUAUUAUUAUAGAUGUAUACAGGACAUUAUGGAAGCUGUCUGUUAUUAUUAUAGAUGUUUACAGGACAUUAUGCUGUCUGUUAUUAUGAUAGAUGUUUACAGGACAUUAUGGAAGCUGUCUGUUAUUAUUAUAGAUGUUUACAGGACAUUAUGCUGUCUGUUAUUAUUAUAGAUGUAUACAGGACAUUAUGCUGUCUGUUAUUAUUAUAGAUGUUUACAGGACAUUAUGCUGUCUGUUAUUAUGAUAGAUGUAUACAGGACAUUAUGGAAGCUGUCUGUUAUUAUUAUAGAUGUAUACAGGACAUUAUGCUGUCUGUUAUUAUUAUAGAUGUUUACAGGACAUUAUGCUGUCUGUUAUUAUUAUAGAUGUUUACAGGACAUUAUGCUGUCUGUUAUUAUUAUAGAUGUUUACAGGACAUUAUGCUGUCUGUUAUUAUUAUAGAUGUUUACAGGACAUUAUGGAAGCUAUCCUGUUUUUAUUCUCAUGUUCCAACAGAAAUCUUGGAAGAAACGAGGACACAGAGGAACCAGAACCGGUUUUACGGAUUCCUUUGUGCCUAUUUUACCUCCAUGUACGGCCACAGCCCGGGCCUGUAUAGAAACAUGACGGUGAAGGAGGUGGAGGAGGCCCAGUGGGGCCGGUCUGGGACCUAUCUGAUCAAUGUAAGUCUAUAACUACACCUGAACGUGGCCCAGUGGGGCCGGUCUGGGACCUAUCUGAUCAAUGUAA
ensembl:lncRNA